GAGAACCUGAUUUGUUUGCAGUGAAAGACCCAGGUGGAAGCGGAGGAACAAGUCCAGGUGUCCAUUUGGACUCUGUAAGGCCUUGUCCACAGCACUCUGGUAGAAAUGUGUUGAUGAUGUUUGUUAAAU